rnacentral:miRNA from 1 species
UGGGUUGACCAAAAAGUUUGUUUGGGUUUUUCUGCAACAUUGUAAUGGAAAAACCUGAACCAACAUUUUGGCCAACCCAAU